CCGAACAUCACAAUCGGAGGAUUUGCCCUGAGAAGAUCUCGCAACCGUCCGGGAUGGAGAUUGGCGCAUCGCUGCGACACUGCCGCCUCCUUGCCUUGUCCAGCAGCGCCUUUUAGCGGUGGACUUGAGAUGAUUCAUCGGAACGGUGUCCCCAUUGAGACUGAAAUAAGAGCACGUACUUUCCGCGGGGAUGACCGUCCCGGUCUCCCGGUCCACAUCCGCAGCACUACCGCGGCACAGGACGAGCUGGGCCGCCAGCAGGAG